rnacentral:rRNA from 1 species
GGGGGACGGAGAAGGCUAUGUUGGCCGGGCGACGGUUGUCCCGGUUUAAGCGUGUAGGUGUGUGUUCCAGGUAAAUCCGGUUCACUUUAACACUGAGGCGUGAUGACGAGGCACUACGGUGCUGAAGCAACAAAUGCCCUGCUUCCAGGAAAAGCCUCUAAGCAUCAGGUAACAUCAAAUCGUACCCCAAACCGACACAGGUGGUCAGGUAGAGAAUACCAAGGCGCUUGAGAGAACUCGGGUGAAGGAACUAGGCAAAAUGGUGCCGUAACUUCGGGAGAAGGCACGCUGACACGUAGGUGAAGUGAUUUACUCAUGGAGCUGAAGUCAGUCGAAGAUACCAGCUGGCUGCAACUGUUUAUUAAAAACACAGCACUGUGCAAACACGAAAGUGGACGUAUACGGUGUGACGCCUGCCCGGUGCCGGAAGGUUAAUUGAUGGGGUCAGCGCAAGCGAAGCUCCUGAUCGAAGCCCCGGUAAACGGCGGCCGUAACUAUAACGGUCCUAAGGUAGCGAAAUUCCUUGUCGGGUAAGUUCCGACCUGCACGAAUGGCGUAAUGAUGGCCAGGCUGUCUCCACCCGAGACUCAGUGAAAUUGAACUCGCUGUGAAGAUGCAGUGUACCCGCGGCAAGACGGAAAGACCCCGUGAACCUUUACUAUAGCUUGACACUGAACAUUGAGCCUUGAUGUGUAGGAUAGGUGGGAGGCUUUGAAGUGUGGACGCCAGUCUGCAUGGAGCCGACCUUGAAAUACCACCCUUUAAUGUUUGAUGUUCUAACGUGGACCCGUAAUCCGGGUUGCGGACAGUGUCUGGUGGGUAGUUUGACUGGGGCGGUCUCCUCCUAAAGAGUAACGGAGGAGCACGAAGGUUGGCUAAUCCUGGUCGGACAUCAGGAGGUUAGUGCAAUGGCAUAAGCCAGCUUGACUGCGAGCGUGACGGCGCGAGCAGGUGCGAAAGCAGGUCAUAGUGAUCCGGUGGUUCUGAAUGGAAGGGCCAUCGCUCAACGGAUAAAAGGUACUCCGGGGAUAACAGGCUGAUACCGCCCAAGAGUUCAUAUCGACGGCGGUGUUUGGCACCUCGAUGUCGGCUCAUCACAUCCUGGGGCUGAAGUAGGUCCCAAGGGUAUGGCUGUUCGCCAUUUAAAGUGGUACGCGAGCUGGGUUUAGAACGUCGUGAGACAGUUCGGUCCCUAUCUGCCGUGGGCGCUGGAGAACUGAGGGGGGCUGCUCCUAGUACGAGAGGACCGGAGUGGACGCAUCACUGGUGUUCGGGUUGUCAUGCCAAUGGCACUGCCCGGUAGCUAAAUGCGGAAGAGAUAAGUGCUGAAAGCAUCUAAGCACGAAACUUGCCCCGA